rnacentral:rRNA from 1 species
AAUGGGCGCAAGCCUGAUCUAGCCAUACCGCGUGAGUGAUGAAGGCCUUAGGGUCGUAAAGCUCUUUCGCCAGGGAAGAUAAUGACUGUACCUGGUAAAGAAGUCCCGGCUAACUCCGUGCCAGCAGCCGCGGUAAUACGGAGGGGACUAGCGUUGUUCGGAGUUACUGGGCGUAAAGCGCACGUAGGCGGACCAGAAAGUAUGGGGUGAAAUCCCAGGGCUCAACCCUGGAACUGCCUCAUAAACUCCUGGUCUAGAGUUCGAGAGAGGUGAGUGGAAUUCCGAGUGUAGAGGUGAAAUUCGUAGAUAUUCGGAGGAACACCAGUGGCGAAGGCGGCUCACUGGCUCGAUACUGACGCUGAGGUGCGAAAGCGUGGGGAGCAAACAGGAUU